CGCUUGAAUGAAAGAGUCUAUUUUUUUUUGCCGACACUUUUGCGCAGAAUCAUUGCUUAAAACUUUGCUUCAAUUCUUAAAGUUGGAUGUGGAAUUGUUCAAUGAAUCUUUUUAUGCGACCUCUGUUAGCAAAACUAUAAGAUAUCUGAACCUGAAUUUGAGUAAACGUGAUGUUAGAUAAUAGAACUUGUUGGCGGUAAUAUAUUUAAUGGUCUUAAUAUCAAAUACCAAUCGCGGUUUCAUCCAUCUGAGAGAAAAUUCUUCACGGUAUCUCGUUCAACAGUGUGGAGAGUGGAUAAUUUUAGCAGAAGUAGCGAGGGAAGUUGCAGAAGAAAUUCAAGAGCCAAAUUUCAUGACACGACGAAAAUUUUACAUGUGAACUGAUGAAAUAUAAUCCUCGAAUUUGCCUGCCAAAAGGAACUGAUUCUCUUGGCUUGGAAAUUAAAAAUAAAAAUUUUAAUGACUCUAAAUCAAAUGGAAUUGUCAUGUAAAAAUAUAUUAGGAAUCAUCACGUAAUUAUAUUUCAGAUGUCAUAUAAUUAUUUUUUCCUGUGCGCAUAUGCAAAAUAUUCCUGUAUUGAAUGCGCUGCCCAAAAUAGUAGGGCCAAGAGUCAUUUCUUACAUAUGUAGUCGUGAAAGAGUUUUAAAUCAAACUUUAAAUUAAAUAAAAUUUUUCUGAGGAACUUGACAGUGUCACAUAUAUUUCAAUCGUCUUGUACGGAAAUGCAAUUCUUGAAACUAUCCAUUUGAAUUGAUGUUAUUAUUCCAUCAUACUCAACAGUACGUUUAUUAGCGAUUGUUAAUACGCGUAGCCUUGAACAAAUAGAAAAGAAGAUGCUUGAUCAAAUAUAAUCACGAUGAAGAAGUGAGGAGAAUAGCAGAAUGAUAAUUAUGCUGACUAACCAAAAAAUGAAAAAAAAAAUCAUGUUCAUGUAUUUUCAUGGAUUUUAUGCGAAGAAAGUAAAGAUGUGGCGGUCGUGCAGGC